UAUAGGGAGACCCGAAUCGAGUCAAAAGAACCAAGUAAAAAGGAAAAAGAAACAGAAAAAUCUUUUGACUUUGAACUUUUGAGUUUUGACUUGAUUUAUCCCAAGGUCGGUCGAGGAAAAGUAAUUGGCUUUCAAACUAUAUAUUGGUUCGAUAAAGAUUGCACAAGCGAGCAACAAGACACAGUUGUGAUUGGAUAAACAGUCAAAUCAACUGUUAUGCUCAAGCAUAGGGAAUACGAAUGUAUUGUAGAAAAGCAAUACGUAACUCAAGAAAUUGCUCCAGCAAUCUUGCGCUUAAGUAGUAAGACUGCUGGGUGUAAUCCAGCCAGAACCUUGAAAACUGCAUAGUAACGCGAAGCAGGUAGACACAGACAUUGUAGGAAUCAUGGCAUGAAUGCAUGAAAUGAUUUGAAAAAUGAAAGUGUUUACUAUAGAUAGAAAUCACCAAUUGUAGAGU
rnacentral:misc_RNA from 1 species